GACGAACGCUGGCGGCGUGCUUAACACAUGCAAGUCGAACGGAAAGGCCUGCUUUCCCUUGUGGAUUGCGGGUGCUCGAGUGGCGAACGGGUGAGUAACACGUGAGUGAUCUGCCCCCAACUUGGGUAUAAGCCUGGGAAACUGGGUCUAAUUCCCGAUAGGACUGCAGGGUGGUGCCUGUGGUGGAAAACGAUUUUCUAGUGGUUGGGGAUGAGCUCGCGGCCUAUCAGCUUGUUGGUGGGGUAAUGGCCUACCAAGGCGGCGACGGGUAGCCGGCCUGAGAGGGUGGACGGCCACAUUGGGACUGAGAUACGGCCCAGACUCCUACGGGAGGCAGCAGUGGGGAAUAUUGCACAAUGGGCGGAAGCCUGAUGCAGCGACGCCGCGUGGGGGAUGACGGCCUUCGGGUUGUAAACUCCUUUCGACCGAGAGGAAGCCACCUGGUUGGAAGGGUGGUGACGGUAGUGGUAGAAGAAGCACCGGCUAACUACGUG
rnacentral:rRNA from 1 species